rnacentral:rRNA from 1 species
GACGAACGCUGGCGGCGUGCUUAACACAUGCAAGUCGAACGGAGCGCCUAUGAAGGAGAUUUCGGUCAACGGAAUAGGCUGCUUAGUGGCGGACGGGUGAGUAACGCGUGAGGAACCUGCCUUUCAGAGGGGGACAACAGUUGGAAACGACUGCUAAUACCGCAUAACACAUAGGUGUCGCAUGGCAUUUAUGUCAAAGAUUUAUCGCUGAAAGAUGGCCUCGCGUCUGAUUAGCUAGUUGGUAGGGUAACGGCCUACCAAGGCGACGAUCAGUAGCCGGACUGAGAGGUUGGCCGGCCACAUUGGGACUGAGAUACGGCCCAG